CUGGAAUGGAAGAGGGCUGUGUGCGGGCCUCUCGGGAUGCAGGCUGACCUGGCCUGCAGGACCGGCCAUACCUUCUAGAAUAUCCUCACCCUGUCCCCACGGCCUCCCCCCGUUCCUGGCGCCUGUGGUUUUCUGCAGGGUCAGUCGGAGCGUCUCCCUGACACCAACAUGAACAAGUGCAACAAGUUGAGUGACCAGGCCACACGCUGACCAGUGGGCGCCAGGCCAGUUGCAGCACGUGGAUCCUCUCUGCAGCAGGCUGGCUUCUCUGUGGUUGGCAUGUGGGCUUAGUGGCCCCGUUGCUUGUGGGAUCUUGGUUCCCCAACGAUCAGGGAUCGAACCCACCUCUCCUGCAGCACAAGAUGCACUGAUGGAAUGUCACGUUGACUAAUCUCUGUGAGCCGACUUCGGGCCUGGGGUAACUCCUGCUCGCUCACAGUGCGUGACUCUCUCUCCACAUUGCUGCGUCCAGUCUGCCAGUCUUCAUUGAGAACUUUGGC